rnacentral:rRNA from 1 species
UGGGGAAUUUUGCACAAUGGGGGAAACCCUGAUGCAGCGACGCCGCGUGGAGGAUGAAGGCCUUCGGGUUGUAAACUCCUUUUGCAGGGGAAGAUAAUGACGGUACCCUGCGAAUAAGCCACGGCUAACUCUGUGCCAGCAGCCGCGGUAAGACAGAGGUGGCAAGCGUUGUUCGGAAUCACUGGGCUUAAAGGGCGCGUAGGUGGUAGUGCAAGUCUGAGGUGGAAUCCCAGGGCUUAACCCUGGAACUGCCUUGGAAACUGUAUUACUUGAGUCAGUGAGGGGAGGGUAGAAUUCCUGGUGUAGCGGUGAAAUGCGUAGAUAUCAGGAGGAAGGCCGGUGGCGAAGGCGGCCCUCUGGCGCUGAACUGACACUGAGGCGCGAAAGCGUGGGGAGCAAA